rnacentral:rRNA from 1 species
AGUGAACGCUGGCGGCAGGCCUAACACAUGCAAGUCGAGCGGCAGCGGGUUCCCGCGAGGGGAUGCCGGCGAGCGGCGGACGGGUGAGGAACACAUCGGAAUCUGCCUGGUUGUGGGGAGUAACGUAGGGAAACCGGGUACUAAUACUGGAUAUGACUCCAUGACGCAUGUUGUGGGGUGGAAAGCCUUGUGCGGCUGAGGAUGGGCCCGCGGCCUAUCAGCUUGNGGUGGGGUGAUGGCCUACCAAGGCGACGACGGGUAGCCGGCCUGAGAGGGCGACCGGCCACACUGGGACUGAGACACGGCCCAGACUCCUACGGGAGGCAGCAGUGGGGAAUAUUGGACAAUGGGCGCAAGCCUGAUCCAGCCAUGCCGCGUGUGU